UUGACCUCGGAUCACGU
rnacentral:rRNA from 6 species